UUGCGUCGUUCCGGAAAAGUCGC
rnacentral:misc_RNA from 1 species